rnacentral:rRNA from 1 species
UACGUAGGCAGCGAGCGUUGUUCGGAGUUACUGGGCGUAAAGAGUGCGUAGGCGGUUUUCUAAGUUUGGUGUGAAAUCUCCCGGCUCAACUGGGAGGGUGCGCCGAAGACUGGAAGGCUUGAGUAUGGGAGAGGUAAGCGGAAUUCCUGGUGUAGCGGUGAAAUGCGUAGAUAUCAGGAGGAACACCUGCGGCGAAGGCGGGUUGCUGGGCUGAUACUGACGCUGAGGCGCGAAAGCCAGGGGAGCGAACGGG